GAUGAACGCUGGCGGCGUGCCUAAUACAUGCAAGUAGAACGCUGAAGGAGGAGCUUGCUCUUCUGGAUGAGUUGCGAACGGGUGAGUAACGCGUAGGUAACCUGCCUGGUAGCGGGGGAUAACUAUUGGAAACGAUAGCUAAUACCGCAUGACAACAGUUAUUGCAUGAUAACUGUUUAAAAGGGGCAACUGCUCCACUACCAGAUGGACCUGCGUUGUAUUAGCUAGUUGGUGAGGUAACGGCUCACCAAGGCGACGAUACAUAGCCGACCUGAGAGGGUGAUCGGCCACACUGGGACUGAGACACGGCCCAGACUCCUACGGGAGGCAGCAGUAGGGAAUCUUCGGCAAUGGACGGAAGUCUGACCGAGCAACGCCGCGUGAGUGAAGAAGGUUUUCGGAUCGUAAAGCUCUGUUGCAAGAGAAGAACGAGUGUGAGAGUGGAAAGUUCACACUGUGACGGUAGCUUACCAGAAAGGGACGGCUAACUACGUG
rnacentral:rRNA from 1 species